CGGGACGGGUGAGUAAUGUCUGGGAAACUGCCUGAUGGAGGGGGGUAACUACUGGAAACGGUAGCUAAUACCGCAUAACGUCGCAAGACCAAAGAGGGGGACCUUCGGGCCUCUUGCCAUCGGCUGUGCCCAGAUGGGAUUAGCUAGUAGGUGGGGUAACGGCUCACCUAGGCGACGAUCCCUAGCUGGUCUGAGAGGAUGACCAGCCACACUGGAACUGAGACACGGUCCAG
rnacentral:rRNA from 1 species